rnacentral:rRNA from 1 species
GUGGGGAAUAUUGGGCAAUGGGCGAAAGCCUGACCCAGCAACGCCGCGUGAAGGAAGAAGGUUUUCGGAUCGUAAACUUCUAUCCUUGGUGAAGAUAAUGACGGUAGCCAAGAAGGAAGCCCCGGCUAACUACGUGCCAGCAGCCGCGGUAAUACGUAGGGGGCAAGCGUUGUCCGGAAUGAUUGGGCGUAAAGGGCGCGUAGGCGGCCCGGUAAGUCUGAAGUGAAAGUCCUGCUUUUAAGGUGGGAAUUGCUUUGGAUACUGUCGGGCUUGAGUGCAGGAGAGGUAAGCGGAAUUCCCGGUGUAGCGGUGAAAUGCGUAGAGAUCGGGAGGAACACCAGUGGCGAAGGCGGCUUACUGGACUGUAACUGACGCUGAGGCGCGAAAGUGUGGGAAGCAAACAGGAUUAGAAACCCGUGUAGUCC